rnacentral:sRNA from 1 species
UGGCUCGACGCACAGUCUAUAAGUGUGU